rnacentral:rRNA from 1 species
AUUGAACGCUGGCGGCAUGCCUUACACAUGCAAGUCGAACGGUAACAGGUCUUCGGAUGCUGACGAGUGGCGAACGGGUGAGUAAUACAUCGGAACGUGCCUAGUAGUGGGGGAUAACUACUCGAAAGAGUGGCUAAUACCGCAUGAGAUCUACGGAUGAAAGCAGGGGAUCGCAAGACCUUGUGCUACUAGAGCGGCCGAUGGCAGAUUAGGUAGUUGGUCGGAUAAAAGCUUACCAAGCCGACGAUCUGUAGCUGGUCUGAGAGGACGAUCAGCCACAAUGGGACUGAGACACGGCCCAGACUCCUACGGGAGGCAGCAGUGGGGAAUUUUGGACAAUGGGCGCAAGCCUGAUCCAGCAAUGCCGCGUGCAGGAUGAAGGCCUUCGGGUUGUAAACUGCUUUUGUACGGAACGAAAAGGCUCUGGUUAAUACCUGGGGCUCAUGACGGUACCGUAAGAAUAAGCACCGGCUAACUACGUGCCAGCAGCCGCCGUAACAC